UACGUAGGGCGCGAGCGUUGUCCGGAAUCAUUGGGCGUAAAGAGCUCGUAGGCGGCCUGUCGCGUCUGCUGUGAAAUCCCGGGGCUUAACCCCGGGCGUGCAGUGGAUACGGGCGGGCUAGAGUUCGGUAGGGGAGACUGGAAUUCCUGGUGUAGCGGUGAAAUGCGCAGAUAUCGGGAGGAACACCAGUAGCGAAGGCGGUCUCCUGGAGCCUGUUUGACGCUGAGGCGCGAAAGCUGGGGGAGCGAACGGG
rnacentral:rRNA from 1 species